GACGUAGGGGGCCAGCGUUGCUCGGAAUUACUGGGCGUAAAGCGUACGUAGACGGUUGGAUAAGUCGGAUGUGAAAGCCCCGGGCUCAACCUGGGAAUUGCAUUCGAGACUGUUCAGCUAGGGUGCGGAAGAGGGAAGCGGAAUUUCCGGUGUAGCGGUGAAAUGCGUAGAUAUCGGAAGGAACACCAGUGGCGAAAGCGGCUUCCUGGUCCAGCACCGACGUUCAGGUACGAAAGCAUGGGGAGCAAACAGG
rnacentral:rRNA from 1 species